AGCAACCCGUUUGGUUAUCUUUCUGUGCUGUGGAAGGUUUGUUCUUUCACUCUGCACUAUUUUGCAAUAAAUAUUGCUAUUGCUCACUUUGGGUUUAUAUUGCCUUUAUGAGCUGUAACACUCACCAUGAAGGUCUGCAGCUUUACUCUUGAAGCUUAGCGAGACCACUAACCCACCAGAAGGAAGAAACUCCGGACACGCCGCCUUUAAGAACUGUAAUACUCAGUGCGAGGGUUCACGGCUUCAUUCUUGAGAAAGACAACGAGGAGGGAGCAGCUAGAGGGGUGGAAAUGGGAUCACGUGACCUUGCGAGAAGCAGGGAGAGAGAACACUGCGUCUGCUCCCUUUUAGAACAGCUCAAUAUAGGGAAUCCCUAACAGAGGACUUCCAGGAUAUCCUAGGGACAGCAGAGCCUCAAGAUCCAGGGAGGAUCCUGGAUACCUGAGUCACCACUUGGAGGGGAAUCUCCUGGAAGAACUGAUUGAUCAGCAACAUCUACAUUCAACUUGAGGGUCUUCUUGCUUGGUGAGCCUGGUGGUUGGCCAACAGCUCUGGCAUUGUGGGACCCA
ensembl:lncRNA LINC02074 long intergenic non-protein coding RNA 2074